rnacentral:rRNA from 1 species
UGCCCAGCAGCAGACUGCCGGUGCUGAUGCUUCUGCAAACAACGCGAAAGAUGACGAUGUUGUCGACGCUGAAUUUGAAGAAGUCAAAGACAAAAAAUAAUCGCCCUAUAAACGGGUAAUUAUACUGACACGGGCGAAGGGGAAUUUCCUCUCCGCCCGUGCAUUCAUCUAGGGGCAAAUCAAAAAAGAUGGCUAAGCAAGAUUAUUACGAGAUUUUAGGCGUUUCCAAAACAGCGGAAGAGCGUGAAAUCAAAAAGGCCUACAAACGCCUGGCCAUGAAAUACCACCCGGACCGUAACCAGGGUGACAAAGAGGCCGAGGCGAAAUUUAAAGAGAUCAAGGAAGCUUAUGAAGUUCUGACCGACUCGCAAAAACGUGCGGCAUACGAUCAGUAUGGUCAUGCUGCGUUUGAGCAAGGCGGCAUGGGCGGCGGCGGUUUUGGCGGCGGCGCAGACUUCAGCGAUAUUUUUGGUGACGUUUUCGGCGAUAUUUUUGGCGGCGGACGUGGUCGUCAACGUGCGGCGCGCGGUGCUGAUUUACGCUAUAACAUGGAGCUCACCCUCGAAGAAGCUGUACGUGGCGUGACCAAAGAGAUCCGCAUUCCGACUCUGGAAGAGUGUGACGUUUGCCACGGUAGCGGUGCAAAACCAGGUACACAGCCGCAGACCUGUCCGACCUGUCAUGGUUCUGGCCAGGUGCAGAUGCGCCAGGGUUUCUUUGCCGUGCAGCAGACCUGUCCACACUGUCAGGGCCGCGGUACGCUGAUCAAAGAUCCGUGCAACAAAUGUCAUGGUCAUGGUCGUGUUGAGCGCAGCAAAACGCUGUCCGUUAAAAUCCCGGCAGGGGUGGACACUGGAGACCGCAUCCGUCUUGCGGGCGAAGGUGAAGCGGGUGAACACGGCGCACCGGCAGGCGAUCUGUACGUUCAGGUUCAGGUUAAACAGCACCCGAUUUUCGAGCGUGAAGGCAACAACCUGUAUUGCGAAGUCCCGAUCAACUUCGCUAUGGCGGCGCUGGGUGGUGAAAUCGAAGUACCGACCCUUGAUGGUCGCGUCAAACUGAAAGUGCCUGGCGAAACCCAGACCGGUAAGCUGUUCCGUAUGCGCGGUAAAGGCGUCAAGUCUGUCCGCGGUGGCGCACAGGGUGAUUUGCUAUGCCGCGUUGUUGUCGAAACACCGGUAGGUUUGAACGAGAAGCAGAAACAGCUGCUGCAAGAGCUGCAAGAAAGCUUUGGUGGCCCAACCGGCGAGCACAACAGCCCGCGUUCAAAGAGCUUCUUUGAUGGCGUGAAGAAGUUUUUUGACGNNNNNNNNNNCACAGGUGGUCAGGUAGAGAAUACCAAGGCGCUUGAGAGAACUCGGGUGAAGGAACUAGGCAAAAUGGUGCCGUAACUUCGGGAGAAGGCACGCUGAUAUGUAGGUGAAGCGACCUGCUCGUGGAGCUGAAAUCAGUCGAAGAUACCAGCUGGCUGCAACUGUUUAUUAAAAACACAGCACUGUGCAAACACGAAAGUGGACGUAUACGGUGUGACGCCUGCCCGGUGCCGGAAGGUUAAUUGAUGGGGUUAGCGGUAACGCGAAGCUCUUGAUCGAAGCCCCGGUAAACGGCGGCCGUAACUAUAACGGUCCUAAGGUAGCGAAAUUCCUUGUCGGGUAAGUUCCGACCUGCACGAAUGGCGUAAUGAUGGCCAGGCUGUCUCCACCCGAGACUCAGUGAAAUUGAACUCGCUGUGAAGAUGCAGUGUACCCGCGGCAAGACGGAAAGACCCCGUGAACCUUUACUAUAGCUUGACACUGAACAUUGAGCCUUGAUGUGUAGGAUAGGUGGGAGGCUUUGAAGUGUGGACGCCAGUCUGCAUGGAGCCGGCCUUGAAAUACCACCCUUUAAUGUUUGAUGUUCUAACGUUGGCCCGUAAUCCGGGUUGCGGACAGUGUCUGGUGGGUAGUUUGACUGGGGCGGUCUCCUCCUAAAGAGUAACGGAGGAGCACGAAGGUUGGCUAAUCUUGGUCGGACAUCAGGAGGUUAGUGCAAUGGCAUAAGCCAGCUUGACUGCGAGCGUGACGGCGCGAGCAGGUGCGAAAGCAGGUCAUAGUGAUCCGGUGGUUCUGAAUGGAAGGGCCAUCGCUCAACGGAUAAAAGGUACUCCGGGGAUAACAGGCUGAUACCGCCCAAGAGUUCAUAUCGACGGCGGUGUUUGGCACCUCGAUGUCGGCUCAUCACAUCCUGGGGCUGAAGUAGGUCCCAAGGGUAUGGCUGUUCGCCAUUUAAAGUGGUACGCGAGCUGGGUUUAGAACGUCGUGAGACAGUUCGGUCCCUAUCUGCCGUGGGCGCUGGAGAACUGAGGGGGGCUGCUCCUAGUACGAGAGGACCGGAGUGGACGCAUCACUGGUGUUCGGGUUGUCAUGCCGAUGGCACUGCCCGGUAGCUAAAUGCGGAAGAGAUAAGUGCUGAAAGCAUCUAAGCACGAAACUUGCCCCGAGAUGAGUUCUCCCUGACUCCUUGA